GGCCGUGUGGUCUAGUAGUAUGAUACUCGCUUUGGGCUUUAAAGCAUUGAUUGCGAGUGGUCCAGGGUUCAAUUCCCUGCUCGGCCC
rnacentral:tRNA from 1 species